CCUCUCUCCACGUCCACGGCGCCGAGUCUCGCCACGGUGGCGCAGGCGCCAGGGAGGUUCCCCGGCUUUGCCGCGCGGAGGAAGUCCCGGUUACGCAGAGCGCGCUGGGGCAGGGCUGACCUUCCCCUUUCUCUACUUCACUGGCCUCCUCCAGACGUGGUGGUUGCGCCCUUUCGGCCUCGCUUUCCGUUUUUUGGCUUCAUCCCCUAGAUCUGCAAACAGUUCCUCGUGUUUCUUCCGUUAGCCGGGAAACGCGAACUGCAGCGUUUGGGACCCGGGUUUGCGCGUGUGGAAAGCAAAAGGGGUUACUCUGCUGGAGUUCGACAUUGCAAAUAAAGGUCUUUAUCCCCGGCGGUUCUACAAAAUUAGUUCUGCAGGGAUUCUGGUUGAAAGAAGCGUUAAAGUGGGCCUUGUAGGAGUCAGCAAUAAUCCAAUUUUACAUGGGUGCAGGUGGCUGCCUGUGUCUAGCGCUUUCACACAUCUCAUAUCUUCAUCCACGCCGUGGGUAUUUUUUUUCCACGGUGUGUUUCUGUUGCUGCCUCCAGUAUAUUGCUUAAUCAUCCUACCUGGUAAUUAUUUAUGCAUUUUUCUCCUACUCUCGACUCAGCUCCUAGGGAAUAAAAACACAUUAACUUAUCUUUGUGCCCACAGCACCCACCAAGUAUUUCCAUCACGUAAUACUGCCUCUAGAAAGGCAGGAGGAGAAGCAGUCACGCUAAGGAUCUAGGCAAGCCAGAUCUUUUGUCCGGUUUUAGGAGGUGGCCAGCCCUUACUUAUUCCACAAGUGUUUUUCCAGAAACUCAGACUUGAUAUUGCCUCAAGUCCAAGGCAGUGUGCUUCCCCCACUCACAUAUCACUAAUAGUAGCUAACAUUUGUUCAGAUCCCUGUAUGUACUCUGCCACUGUUUUAAAUGUUACACCCGGGUUACCUCAUUUAAUCCUUACAACUGCCCUGUGAGGUAGGUACUAUUAUUAUCUCUACUUUGUAGAUGGGAUUCACCGAGGCACAGACGGUUAAAAAACCUAGCCCAAAUAACACAAAUAAACAGCAGAGCAUGCAGUGCUAGAGUCUGCAUUCUUAACAAUUGCUAUAUUCUCCCUCUCCGUGAAUGUGGGCUGAGAUGCUGAAACAGGCAUGUGCUGUGGGGGAGAAAAAGCUUUGUCCAACCAAGUGCUUUCUAAUGUCCAGAUGACAUAGAGCUAGGAUUUCCUAAUGUCUUUUUUCCCCUAUUUUUCUCUCCAUUUCAGGGUUGAGUUUGUGCAUCGAUUGUGAACACAACAGGCAGCAGGCUAUAAUGGUGGUCCUGGCUGGAGUAGUUUUCACAGACUUCAGUAAUCUGUGGAGAUGAACGGGCAGUUCUCUGUAGUUUUCACAGAUCACUGCCAGUUCGUUUUGAGGCCUUCAGGAGUGAAGACCUGGCUCAUCAUCACUCUUUGUUGUUUUGUUAAAUUUAUUUACACCCUACUUUAUUCCAGAGGAAAGGAUUUAACGUAGUUUACAUAAAUGUGUACAUCAGGGUAAAUUAAAAAUAAGUACAGAGAAAAAUAGGACAAAAGAAAACCGUGAGUGUGAAAGAUAAGAUUAAGCCAGCAGUUUUGUAUGCAAAAUGCAUGGUGUAAGGUCCUAUUGGUUUGCUGGAGGUAGGCCACACAUAUGACUCUCAGUUUUCUAGCAACCAAGAAAAAGAUCAGUUGCAAUCGGAGUAGGUGUUUUGGCUAAGCUGGAACUAGGACUUGAAUAUAGCAGCUUGUAGAGUUAUACCACUUGCCCAAAUCUCUUCCAUGAGCCUCUUUAAGUGUAACAGAAUGCCUGGGAGCACGUAAAUGCUCCUACUUAGAUGCCUACUUAGCCUCUAAUUUUCAUGGGGCCCAUGAAUCCCAUGAAAAAGAACUUUGAACCCUGUCCACAAUUAGAGUUCAGGUAUACGCAGACAUGUUUAAAGACAAGGGACACCCAAAGGAAAGAUUGCACAGAGAGAAAGUGAGCAUCCGAGAGAAAAUCACCACAAGUGAGGCAGAGGGAGGCCGGUCUCAGCAGAGUUUUGGAGGUCGUGAGAAGAAGAGAUAAUGUCUGUGCCUAUCAGAUAAAGGCAAACCAGUGCUCAGAGGAACCCAACCAUCUCUGAAUUGAGACCAGAGAGCUGUCUCUAUGGAUAGUCCUUAGAGAAGGCAUUUCGGAACACAGUAAACAGCAGCCUGGUGACUCCGAUUACAGGGCCAGUUGCCUUUGUUACAAUAAAAGCAAGUCAUCUACACAGAUUUUUCCUACCAGGAAGAGCAUGUGCUGACCAACAGACAUGAAUUUCAGCCUGGUAGUUACAACAUUCACAGUAUACCCACAUCACUAAGCUGGGAGGCACAUUUUGAGACCCAGAAUCCUGACACCUCCAUGCCUUCAAAAGGAUGAGCAGAUUCAUGUAUGACCAGAAUGUAAACCAGGAUCACAGAGCAGCCGGAGAGGUGGUGACAGAACCAUCGAUGGAACCCUGGGCUCCAGGUUCUGACUCCUAUUUUCACUCACUAAUUUUUUUUUUUUGAGAUGGAGUCUUGCUCUGUCGCCAGGCUGGAGUAGAGUGGCAC
rnacentral:lncRNA from 1 species